AACGCACGAGACCUGCGGACCUGCGGAGGGAUCAUUACCGAGUGAGGGUCCUUUGUGGGCCCAACCUCCCACCCGUGUUUACUUAUACCAUGUUGCUUCGGUGGGCCCACUGGGGCGUUGUCCCUGGUCGCUGGGGGGGAGAGAGAAAUCCCCCGGGCCCGUGCCCGCCGGAGACCCCACAAACUCUGUCUGAAUUGGUCUGUCUGAGUAAUAAAAGAUAAUUAUUAAAACUUUUAACAA
rnacentral:misc_RNA from 1 species